rnacentral:rRNA from 1 species
ACGGAGGAAAAGAAACCAACAGGGAUUGCCCUAGUAACGGCGAGUGAAGCGGCAACAGCUCAAAUUUGAAAUCUGGCUCUCUUUGGGGGUCCGAGUUGUAAUUUGCAGAGGAUGCUUUGGCAUUGGCGGCGGUCUAAGUUCCUUGGAACAGGACAUCGCAGAGGGUGAGAAUCCCGUACGUGGGCGCCUGCCUUUGCCGUGUAAAGCUCCUUCGACGAGUCGAGUUGUUUGGGAAUGCAGCUCUAAAUGGGAGGUAAAUUUCUUCUAAAGCUAAAUACCGGCCAGAGACCGAUAGCGCACAAGUAGAGUGAUCGAAAGAUGAAAAGUACUUUGGAAAGAGAGUCAAAAAGCACGUGAAAUUGUUGAAAGGGAAGCGCUUGCAGCCAGACUUGCCCGCAGUUGCUCACCUAGGCUUUGGCCUGGGGCACUCUUCUGCGGGCAGGCCAGCAUCAGUUUGGGCGGUCGGACAAAGGCCUCUGUCAAGUAUCUCCCUUCGGGGUGACCUUAUAGGGGAGGCGUAAUGCGACCAGCCCGGACUGAGGUCCGCGCAUCUGCUAGGAUGCUGGCGUAAUGGCUGUAAGCGGCCCGUCU